rnacentral:lncRNA from 1 species
UAAUAGUUUAGCAAAAUAUAUGAUGAUAAACACCGAGAGACUCUAAAAUUGUCUAUCUAUGAAGCCUCUACUGUCUGAGAUAGGCGUCGGGACAUACCCACGACAACCUUAAAUAAAACUGUUAAAGCAAAUAAAUGACUAGAGUCCUCCGAAAGCAAUGAGGCCUCACCAAAAGCUGGUAAGAAGUUGGGUGAUAUCAACGAUUCGCCUAUUGAUGAUCCUGAACACCUGUAUCUGCAUCAUAAGACAAUGCAGGUCAAAAGACAUUAGUACAUUGAAUGUAUGAGUAUGUAAUAAGGCUGAGUGAAACAUUAACUGGACUGAAAGAUUGAAAUAUAGCUCAACUGAAAUAAAGCAUAAAUAUGAGAUAAAAUCAUUUAAGUUCACAAAUAUAAUGCAGUAAUAUCAAUUUCUGAACUGAACUGGAAUAUGUAUAUAUGUAUAAAUACUCUUUACUUUACCGGGUAGUUUCUCUAACCGACAACCAUCACUAUGAGCCUCGUGAUGAUACAACGUCUUACCCACGUUGCCAGAGUCGCUCUAUACCUUGCCGGAGUAUAGAACGCAACUGUACUGAUGGAUCCACUAAAAAGGCUUCUUGAGGUAGGUGAGGAGUCGCCCGUCUUACGGUACGAUCCUAUCUACGAUUGCUACAUAGUUUAUGCGAUUUGAGUUAUCUGAACUCUUACCCCAUAUCGGUGCUCAAUACUACUCCCAAAAUAAUAUACUUGAAAUUAUCUGUCUGUCUGAAUAACGGGUGAGAUCAAGCUCAAAUCUGUGAGUCAAAGCUCAAAUCUUUCUAAAAAUCUAUCUUUCAAAGUCAUGUAUGUAACUUAAAUCAUGAGAAAGUUUUCUAACUUGCAUAGCUCAAAGAGAAGAAAGGGAAACAAAUAUUUUUCAUUCAGUGUAAAAAUUAAGAAUCGAUACAAUGUCCAGCUCAUCACUUUGUCAGUUACUGAUCAUCCCUAACUAACUAUACCAUCUAUAUAUCUCUUCAAGAAUCGCUUAUUUUCUGUUGCAAUUCUCUCUCAAUAACUGCAUUCAGUUUAAAGAGAAAGAUCUCUUAUCCUACUUCAUUUUUCAAGCUACAUUGAUCAUUUCUUAGUCAGCUGCAGUUCUUCUACUUCGUUUUGGUAUCUCUGUUGUGUUUUCUUUCAACCUAUUAGGGUGUUGCUGUGAGAACAGAGGUGGAGUUUUCUGUUUCUGGGCAUUUCUGGUUUCUGGGUGUAGUGUUGAUUGAUAUUCACCAACUUCUACUCUGUUUUUGGGUGUAGUGUUGAUUCUUUCUUGGGUUUUUUUUUAUCGAGAUUGAAGUUUUAGUGUUGUUUGUUCGGAAUUCAGGGCAAUUGAAUUUGGGUUUUUCUGCUUGUGUUGAAAUAUUGGAGUUUUAGGGUACAUUUCUACAUUUUCGAUCUGUACAUUUUGAGUUUAAGAAGGAUGUUUCGUUGGCUGAAAAGGAUUGUAUUAGUUUGUUGCCGACCUUUAAGUCGAUAUGUCGGUUUGAGCAGCGGUGAAGAUGGUGUUCUGGGAGGUGAAGAUUUGCCAGUUCUAUGGCAUAGGUCCCUUGAGAAACAUUCAUGUGGGGAGUUCUCUUGUGCUAUGGUACAGGCUAAUCAAGUAUGUGAAGAUUAUGGCCAUGUUGAACCAGGUCGUGAAGGUACCUUUGUUGGGGUUUAUGAUGGCCAUGGUGGCCAUGAUGCUUCAAGAUUUGCCUGUGAUAACCUUAGCCGGCAUUUAAUAAGUGAGAUCAAGUUUCUGUAUUACCUUGCUUUUCUACUUAAUUAUUGUUAAAAUAAAAUGGUUGUUGCAGUAUUACUCUUGAAGUUUCUAGUUCUUUGAUUUCUAUUACUAUUUGUUAUUUCUUGUACUUCGAUUGUAUUAUUAUCUAGUUGUAGAUACUGUUCGUUUUUUGCAGCAUAUUUUGUCAUGCUAUUUUUAGUAUCUUGUCGUGGCUUCUUCAUUUAUGGUAUUCCUUUACCCGACUGCUUUGUUAUGCUUUUUUUUUAGCCGAGGGUCUAUUGGAAACCUUCUAAGGUAGGGGUAUGGUAUGCGUACACACUACUCUCCCCAGACCCCUUGUGGUACUGUAAAUUUUAUUGCCUCAUAACAGCAAUUUAUGAUUUCAGUUUAUGUGACAUGUGACAGAGUUGCAGCAUUUUUCCAUUCUGUUUAUGCUCUAUUGCAUGUUGUAGCAGUGUUAGUGAUUUUUUCUAUUAAGUAAUUGUAUAGUAAAAGGUUUCAAUUGUCACUAAGGGUUUUGCAGUUUUCUCGCAGCUUAGGCUUUGUUUCUCCUUUAUUUGUUGCUGUAGUACUGGUUUAUGUUUCUUCUUCAGAGUGACAAACAGCAACAUAGAGGAACAGGAUCAUCUUUUUGGUACUCCUGAGAAUUUUCAGGCUAAGCAGCUAAACACACAUUUUUUUACAGCGCUUGCUCGAGAAAAGGGAACGAUAGAUGAAGAAGUCCUUAAUAAUGCCUUCGCUGCAACUGAAGACGGCUUCCUUUCUAUUGUGGAAAGGGAAUUUCAUGUUGAUCCAGGAAUUGCGUCAACAGGAUGCUGCUGUCUGGUUGGUGUUAUCUGGAAAAGGACAUUAUAUGUUGCUAACCUGGGGGACUGUAGAGCAGUAUUAGGUCAUAUAGGAAGAUUCAAUAGGAUUGUUGCUGAGCAAUUGACUAAUGAUCAUAAUGUCAGGAUCAAGGACGUCAGGGAUGAACUGAGAGCUCUGCACCCAGACAAUCCAAACAUUGUGUCUCGUGUCGGAAGCUCAUGGUGUGUUAAAGGCAUUAUAAAGGUUUGCUUUUAAAUACUACUAUUGAACACAAACUUAUGUUAUGUUAGGUAUCAUUUUGAAUUUUAUAUUCUGAUGUCUCAUGACCGAUGCUCAUUCUUUUUUAUCAAAAGCAAUCUAGUUUCCAUCAUAGUCCUUAAUGUUAUCAAAAGAUUCGUGAGCUUAAACUAAAUUUGCGUAGUAUUUAUCAGGCUCUUAAUUCUAGUUUCUUGUCACAUUCAGUGGCUUUAACCUCAAAUAUGCUUUUGGACACCUCUGAAACUGACCUAAACAAAAAUUGAUUUGUCAACUUGGGAAGUAAUCUGCCAUUAUAUCUGUUAAGCACAUCCAAAUAGCACUAUAUCUGCCUUUUAAUAUAUGUGUUUCCUUAUAUGUUUGUUUCUGCAUCUUUUAGGUAACUAGAGCAAUUGGAGAUGCAUUUCUGAAGAAGCCAGAAUUUUCUCUUGGUGCAAUUCCUCUUAGGCGGCCAGUACUAAGAGCUGAUCCAUCUGUCUCUUCAAGAAACUUACAAGCAGUUGAUAGAUUUGUUAUAUUUGCUUCUGCUGGGCUGUGGGAUCUCUUAAGCAAUGAAGAGGCUGUACAAAUUGUGCAUACCUACCCUAGACAGGUAUCUGUUAUUCUGACACUGACAUUUAUUUGAUCAAAAUGUCAUGUUUGUAUGGUUAAACUUAUUUUGUUUAUCCAAUAUCAGGGCAUAGCUAAAAGACUUGUUCUAUCAGCCAUGAAUGUGGCGGCACGUGCAAGAAAGAAGUACGAUGAACUUAUGAAUUAUGACAAAGGUGUCAGCAGGGCCCUUCAUGAUGAUAUAACAGUCGUGGUCAUCUUUAUAGAUCACGAGAUGCUGAAUGAUGAAUUAACUGUGCCAGGAAUGUCAGUUCGAGGAUUUGUAGACACUCAUCGACCAUCACAUUUCAAUAUUGAGCAAGAGGUUGCUACAGAGUCCGAACUCACAGAGACUGAGCCCACAGAGUCCGAACUCACAGAGUCCGAACCCACAGAGACUGAACCCACAGAGACCGAACCCACAGAGACAGUAUAACAAGUGGUUCGCACUUGUUCUUUUCUAGGGAAGCCUGGAUGUGGGAAGUUUCUGAUCUCCCAUUUUUGCCUUGUUUUACCAAUUUAUAUUUUGAUAUACAGUCCAGAUGAACAAGCAAGACUAUUAGGUUACCCAUAUGCCACCACCAUCCAAAUCUUUGAAUGUACAAAGACAUGCUGAGGACACUACCUCCUAUUGUUUGUUUACCACAAUAUCUGUCAAUGUAAGCCCAUAAAAGUUGGCAUUCUGAUGGGAAAAAAUAAUACAUUCUGUUUCAAGAUGUAUACACAUUCUUUCCUUUUGAAGAUUUCUUGCUUGUUCUAAAAAUUCUCUCUCUCUCUCUCUCUUACACACACAAACACGCAGAGCUAGGGGAGUGCAAGGGUGGAGUUUCAUCUUAUCCCCUUUGUCGGAAAAUUACAUCAAAUUAUUUUUAUGUGUAUAUCGUAAAUGUUAUAGAAUCCAUUUGGCUUCUUCAUAUGUUUUACAAUAUCCUCUUCUGACGGUGCUAAUAAUGCGGUUGAGAGGCUACAAAACCAUAAAUUUUCUUGUGCCCUUGUCGGAAACUAUGCAAACAUGGAAUGAAAUUUGGUGAAAAUAAAUCUUUUUUCUAAAUUCUACAGAAGUGUUAUAGAACCAAGAAGGAAAUGCUUUGUCUAAAUUCUACUAUUGGUUCAAUAAAUGAGAUAUAAAAUUCUGUAAAGAGUCUCGAAAUAGUUAUUUACUCAAUUUUUUGAAAAAUGAUAGGAGGUAAUUCAAUCAAACAACCUUUUAUGAUUAAUACUAUUAAUGAUUUUUCUUAAUAAAUAUGUCAAUAUCUUAAAUGACAUGUCAAAAUUAAUGCAAAUAACCCAAUUCAACUGACUCAUAUUGUAUAGACGGUUUGCUCUCAGUGAGUCAAUAAAUAACAACAUAGUGAGUGUAAUCCCUCAAGUGUAGUUUGAGCAGGAUUGUGAGUACACAGCCUUACCCCUACCUUGUAGGGAUAGACAGGCGAUUUCCGAUAGGCUGUCUAUCAAGAAUGGGAAGGAAAUACAGUAGCAAAGAAACCAGGCUGAAAAUAAUGCAAAAAAGAAACAGUAGCAACAACAAAUAAUAUGAUAAGUAAAGCAAAAGAAUCAGCAGCUAAUAAAAACUAAGUUUAUACUAAUCUGUUACAAAGUUGUUGGGAUUCAGGUCUUUUGAGAAUCCAUGAAUUCCAAAUUUACAUGUUCUGUAAGCAUUUGAACUUAACAAAAUAAACACCUAUGGUUUCAUUGUUAACAGAACUUGUCCAAAAUAUACAUAAUGGUAUUUUGAGCUACAUCAAUGGCAGAAACCUUUAGAGUAACUCAGAGAGAAGAAAGGGAAUCAAAUAUUUUUCAUUCAGUGUAAAAAUGAGGAAUCGAUACAAUGUACAGCUCAUCACUUUGUCAGUUACUGAUCUUAACAGAAUCUGAUCAUCCCUAACUAACUUCACCACCUAUCUCUUCAAUAAAAAACUUCUAUAUAUAUCUUCAAGAAUCGCUUAUUUUCUGUUGCAAUUCUCUCUCAAUAACUGCAUUCAGUUCAAAGAGAAUGAUCUCUUCUCCUACUUCAUUUUUCAAGCUACAUUGAUCAUUUCUUAGUCAGCUGCAGUUCUUCUACUUCGUUUUGGUAUCUCUGUAGUGUUUUCUUUCAACCCUUUUAUGGUGUUGAUGUGAGAACAGAGGUGGGGUUUUCUGUUUCUGGGCAUUUCUGGUUUCUGGGUGUAGUGUUGAUUGAUAUACACGAACUUCUACUCUGUUUGUGUGUGUCAGUUGGAUUCGUUCUUGUGUUUUUUUGAUCGAGAUUGAAGUUUUAGUGUUGUUUGUUCGGAAUUCAGGGAAAUUGAAUUUGGGUUUUUUUGCUAGUGUUGAAAUAUUGGAGUUUUGGGUACAUUUCUACAUUUUCGAUCUGUACAUUUUGAGUUUAAGAAGGAUGUUUCGUUGGCUGGAAAGGAUUGUAUUAGCUUGUUGUGAACCUUUAAGUCGAUAUCUCCCUUCGAGCAGGGGUGAAGAUUACCCAUUGCUAUGGCAUAAAGACCUUGAGAAACAUUCAUGUGGGAAGUUCUCUUGUGCUAUGGUACAGGGUAAUCCAGUAUGUGAAGAUUAUGGCCACGUUGAACCAGGUCGUCAAGGUACCUUUGUUGGGAUUUAUGAUGGCCAUGGUGGCCCUCAAGCUUCAAGAUUUGCCUGUGAUCACCUUAGCCGCCAUUUAAUAAGUGAGAUCAACUUUCUUUAUUUCCUUGUUAAUAUAACAAUGGUGCCUUUUCCUUGUUUCCUUUGCAUUGUAAAUUUUACUCUCUUAUGGAGGACAUGAAUUUCUAUUAGUACUAUUUGUUAUUUCUUCUACUUCCAUUGUAUUGUUAUUUGGUUGUAGAUUUUGCAGCAUAUUUUGUCGUGGCUUUUUAGUAUCUUGCCUUUACCCGGACUGCUUUGUUAGUUUUUUCUUGAGUCGAGGGUGUAUUGUAAACAUAGUGAUCUUCUUGAUUAUGUUACCGUAGACCUACUGGUUUUAGUUUCUUCUUCACACACUUGUUUUUUUUACAGGGUUUGCUCGAGCAAGGGGAACAAUAGAUGAAGAAGUCCUUAAUAAUGCCGUCGCUGCAACUGAAGAAGCCUUCCUUGAUUAUGUGAGGGAGAGAUUUGAAGCUGACCCAUUGAUAGCGUCAAAGGGGUGCUGCUGUCUGGUUGGUGUUAUCUGGAAUGGGACAUUAUAUGUUGCUAACCUGGGGGACUCUAGAGCAGUAUUAGGUCAUGAUCAUAUAGAAAGACCCGAUAGGAUUGUUGCUCUGCAGUUGACUAAUGAUCAUAAUGCCAGUAUCGUGCAGGUCAGGAAUGAACUGAAUGCUUCGCACCCAGACAAUCCAAACAUUGUGGUUUAUGUCAAUGAAGCAUGGCGUGUUAGAGGCAUUAUACAGGUUUGCUUUUAAAUACACACAAACUUGUUAUGUUCAUGAGUCAUGACAGUCCAGAUGCUCAUUCUCCUUUUAUCUUUUAGAUAACUAGAGCACUUGGAGAUGCAUAUCUGAAGCACCAAGAAUUUGCUCUUGGUACAAAUUUCCCAAGAUUCCAUCUUAAAGUACCUAUUACGCGGCCAGUAGUAAGAGCUGAUCCAGAAGUAUCUUCAAGAAACUUACAAGCAGUUGAUAGAUUUGUUAUAUUUGCUUCUGAUGGGCUGUGGGAUCUCUUAACCAAUGAAAAGGCUGUAGAAAUUGUGAAUACCUAUCCUAAAAAGGUAUCUGUUAUUGUGCCACUGACAUUUAUUUGAUCAACAACAUUUAUGUCUUGUCAUGUUUAAACUUAUUUUGUUUAUCCAAUAUCAGGGCAUAGCUAGAAGACUACUUGUAUCAGCCCUGGAUGAGGCGGCAAGACGUGUAAAGAUCAAGUAUGAUGAACUUAAGAAGGUUGGCAUAAAUGAGAGGAGGACCUUUCAUGAUGAUAUAACAGUGGUGGUCAUCUUUAUAGAUCACAGCAUGCUGAAUAGAGAAUUAUCUGUGCCUGGAAUGUCAGUUCAAGGAUUUGUAGACGCUGCUCCUCGACGAUCAGAAUUCAAUAUUGUUCAGCAACAGCCUGGUAGUGAGGAAGAACUCGAUGACAUGCCAUAACAAGUUGUUCUUUUCUAGGGCAGUGACACUGGAUGUGGCAAGUUUCUCAUCUCCCAUUUUCACAUUUUGAUAUAAUACAGUCCAGACUCUAUUAGGCCACCACCAUCCAAAAGACAUACCUCCUAAUUGUUUGUUUACCACAAUAUCUGUCAAUGUAAGGCCAUAAAUACAUUCUGUUUCAAGAUUUAUACAUGCUUGCCUUUUGAAGAUUUCUUGCUUGUUCUAAAAAUUGCUAUUUUCUAGUCUCCAACUAUGCUGUGAUGGGAUUUAACUGCUAAUAUCUGGCCAUUGGGCUACAUCUGGUCCAUUUUUAAACGAAAAAUAUAAAUCUCAUCUAAAAAAAUUACAAAAGUGUUUUAGAAUCAACAAGGAAUUAGUUAUUUGUCUAAAUUCUACUAUCAUUAGUUUAAUAAAUGAGAUAUAAAAUUCUCUUAUGAGUCUCAAUAGUUAUUUACUCUUUUUUUUUGAAAAAUGACAGAAGGUAAUUCAAUCAAACAACCUUAUAUGAUUAAAUGAUUUUCUUAAUGGGUAUGUCAAAAUCUUAAACGACAUUUCCAAAUUAACUAAUUUGGUCACUUGCCAGUCUCAUAUUGUACUUUCAAUGUGAAGAUUAUUAGCACUUAAUAAUCCGAUUCAAAGGAUAUAAUCUUAAUUCUUACAAUAAGAAAGGGCUAUUCCUGAUCCAGAAUUUGCAACAGUCACAUAUUACAACAGCAUAUAACUUUCUGCUAUGCCCAUUGGCUUUUGAAAGAAAGACUCAAAAUUAUUAGGAAGUGUUAAAGGUUUUCUCUCGGCUCAAGUAAAACAUAUCAAAAUCAAGUAUGGAAAGGAAAUACACUAGCGGAGAAACCAUGAUGAAAAUAUGCGGAAAAGAAACAAUAGCAACAACAAUAUAUGUAAAGCAAAAGAAUCAGCAGGUAAUAACAACUGAGUCGUUAAAGCAAAGAGUAUUUCAUCAAAUAAGUAAACUGUUUCUCUGGGCACAUUUCACUAAUAAUUCAAAAUCCAUCAAUAGAAUCUGCUAUUCAGCUUGACAUAAGCUCUAGUCGAACAUGAGGUUGCUUGACAUAGAAACAACAUCUCAGUCUCAAACAAGUUGGGUCAGUGUGCUUGACAUCCUACCUAUAAUAUUCUUAAAAAGCAAAAAACAAUUUUGUUACAGUAGCACCAAGUUUGUACUAAUCUGUUACAAAAGUUGAUGGGAUUCCCCUUUUGAAGAUUAUCAUGUGUCAAGCAAGCUUCAUGAACAGCUUUCCCCAGAGUCACUUUUCAGGAGACUUGCAUCUUCAUGUUACUAUCCAUGGCAUCUGGGAUAUCUCUCCAUCUCUUUGUUUAGUAAUCAGUCGUAACUUGACUUAACCGAGAAAAUUCCAUCUAUUUUGAUGGUCUGAGAAGAGAGCAUUUACGAAUUCCCGAUCCUGAAAGUUCCUCCUUGGAUGCAGAUUCCAGUUGUAUCCAGUAAAGCAGACUGCCAGGGUGCACUCUUUAUUGUUCACCAGCUCAUGUAGAUCUUGAUAGAGCUCUUUAAGGGGGGAUCUAUUUCUCCAUCCGUUGAUCCUGACAUAGUCUAGUUUUCAACCCAUUACCCACCUUAAUUUUGGACCAUGUCUACAAAGUCUUCCCACAGAUUACUAAUCUGUUCCCACAUUGCCAGCACUUGAACGGAUACGAUCUUCUUAAUGCACCAGUGAUUUUCCAUUCCAUUCCGUGUGAGGCUACAACUAUUAAUAGUCUAAUACUACUACAUCUACGUCAACAACAAUGCCAGUCCCAAACAAGUUGGGGUCGGCUAUAUGAAUCUUCACUGUUUCGUUUAAGCUCAACUUAAGCCAUCAGUAUACCAUACUUGGCUCUCACUACUUUUUUGCACUGAUUCUCCCAGUCAAACUCAUUAUUGAAAUCUAUAUCACAAUUUAAACAUAAGACUCUUGUUGUGUAGCCUUAAGUUCUUUAUCCCUAAUCCUCUAUUUUCUUAGACUUGGUCACAUCUGCCCACUUGAUCAAACGUAUCCUCCUCUUCUCUGCGCACUUGACACUACCCGUUCUCUACUUAGUUCCAGAAACAGCAAUAAAGUCUAAGAAGUUAUGGCAUUUCAGCUCAAAUAUGGAGAAAACAUAUAAAACCACUCACAACUAAAGCUAAUAUGACAGGACUGGAGUAAAGAGGGAUUAAAUUACAUCAAGUAUCAAAAGGCUUUUAUCUACAUAAAAAAAAACUUAAUCUUUUAUUUGGUCAACAAGUUUGAAACUGAGACGUAAUCGAUCCAUUGAUUGAAUAAACAGCCAGAGGCUAGCACAACCUACAAAAGCUCCACCAGUUGUUUCAUCGCUUCACAUUUCUAUGUAAGAUCUACAUAACAUUAUGCAUCACUCUAUUUUUUCCUGCGAGAAGGGAAUAAACCUGCUGAUUACCUGUCUGGACUUGGACAGAAUAUGUAUGAUGUGAUCAUCUUCACUGGUCCAGAGGAGCUACCAAUGGAACUUAUAGGCUUCAUUAGAAUGGAUAGGUGUCCAGCAUUCAGAACUAAGAGGACUAGCAAUAUCUAGAUCUGACACUGUAUAGCACCAUGCAAUUAUAGGAUCAAUUUAAAAAGUGUAAGCCUGUUCACCCAACCGUUAGGAUCUGACUAAAGAUUUAUGUCCUCUUCCUUGUGUACUUUAUUUUACUACAGAUAAA